UAUAGAUUAGUUCUUAUAGUUGAAAUACAACGGUGAUUUUUCAUGUCAUUGGUCAUGGGUGUAGCCAUGUAAGAAUA
rnacentral:tRNA from 1 species